UAUCCGUCCCCAAGGGUUGACAGCUAGACUAACCUGGCCAGGCUCGGAAGAGAGCAACCUAAAUCUGGUUGAUCAGCGUCUAGGGGAUAGCGGAUAUAA
rnacentral:SRP_RNA from 1 species